UGUGGCUCGCACCUGUUCCAACUAAACUUGAGCUACCUGAAUUUUUCUCACAACACGGUUGCAUCGGUUGGCUGCUAGCUGUCCAACAGUGCCUGUUCUCGGGCGCUGUUGCGUUUCAGCGGCGGUCGACAACCUAACAAAACACUGUUGAUGAUCUAGGAUUUGAAUGUUCAGAUGAAAUCGACUGGUAAUGCGGUCGUCUAAAUCUAAAAACAACUUUUGGCAACGGAUCUCUUGGUUCUCCCAUCGAUGAAGAACGCAGCGAAUUGCGAUAAGUAAUGUGAAUUGCAGAAGUGAAUCAUCGAAUCUUUGAACGCACCUUGCGCUCCCGGCAGAUCUAAUCUGGGGAGCAUGCCUGUUUGAGGGCCGCGAAUUGUUUCGAACGACAGCUUUCUUGUUACGAGAACGGCUGGCGGAUCGGUAUUGAGGGUCUGUUUGCCAUGCCUUUGUGCGUGGCUCCCUCGAAAUGCAUUAGCGCAUCCUUUUUCCAUUCAAGGCAAAAGACGGACGAAGGCUCGCCAAUUUCGGCCUGCUUCCUCCUUCCCCCUGCCGGGUUUUGAUAACAUCAGGACUUCGGAGGCGGAAGAGGAGAGCUUGGGUUGAGAGAGCUGGACGCGACGUCUCUUGCUGGAAAAAAUUACGGAGUGCUUCUGAACCCCGCCCAUGCCUGUAGACUCUCUUUGGCGUCUACGGGACGGGAUUUUAUUUCAAUUUCAUCGGCCUCCA
rnacentral:rRNA from 1 species